rnacentral:rRNA from 1 species
GAUGAACGCUGGCGGCGUGCCUAAUACAUGCAAGUCGAACGCAGUGGGGACGGGUGAGUAACACGUGGGUAACCUCCCAUCAGAGGGGAUAACACUUGGAAACCGGUGCUAAACCGAUACUGAUGGAUGGACCCGCGGGGCAUUAGCUAGUUGGGGAGGUAACGGCUCACCAAGGCUACGAUGCAUAGCCGACCUGAGAUGGUGAUGUGUCACACUGGGCUGGAUACACGGCCCAGACUCCGACGGGAGGCAGCAGUAGGGAAUCUUCGGCAAUGGACGAAAGUCUGACCGAGCAACGCCGCGUGAGUGAAGAAGGUUUUCGGAUCGUAAAACUCUGUUGUUAGAGAAGCGGUAUCUAACCAGAAAGCCCCGGCUAACUACGUGCCAGCAGCCGCGGUAAUUC